UACGUAGGGUGCAAGCGUUGUCCGGAAUUAUUGGGCGUAAAGAGCUCGUAGGCGGUCUGUCGCGUCGAAUGUGAAAACCCGGGGCUCAACCCCGGGCCUGCAUUCGAUACGGGCAGACUAGAGUUCGGUAGGGGAGUCUGGAAUUCCUGGUGUAGCGGUGGAAUGCGCAGAUAUCAGGAGGAACACCGGUGGCGAAGGCGGUUCUCUGGGCAUUACCUGACGCUGAGGAGCGAAAGUGUGGGGAGCGAACAGG
rnacentral:rRNA from 1 species